rnacentral:lncRNA from 1 species
AGUACCGGGCACUGUGUGGCGUGCUUAUGCGCUCUGGCUCAUUGCACCCUCUCAGCAAGCCCGACAGUAGAGGCUGCUUUAAAUUCCUACUUUAUAGGUAAGGAGAAGGGGGGCGCAGAGAGAUAAGAACUGUCCCCUUGCUGCAGUCAGGCUUCCAGCCUCAGCCCCUUGCCUUGAAAAGGACUGAACCAAUCCCAUCCUCUUUUUUCUUUUUUUAAAGGAAUGUGGUGACAAGGAGCCCACACAGACCUCAACUUCCACCAGCCUGAAAAUGAUGCUCCCAAUUCUGCCCUUCAAACCUGUUUGUCUUGGAUUUCUUAUUUGUUUUUAUUUUAUUUCAUUAUUUUAUUUAAUGUUUUGAGACAAAGGUCACUCUGUUGCCCAGGCUGGAAUGCAGGGGCGCCAUUAUAGCUCACUGUAGCCUCUAUCACCCCAGCUCAAGUGAUCCUUCUACCUCAGCCUCCUGAGGAGCUGGGUCUAUAGGUGCAUGCCACCACACCUGGCUAAUUUUUUAAUUAUUUGUAGAGAUGAAGUCUCAUUACGUUGCCCAGGCUGAUCUUGAACUCCUGAGCUCAAGCAAUCCUCCUGCCUGGGCCUUCUAAUGUGCUGGGAUUACAGGCAUGAGCCACGGCGCUUGGCCUUGAAUUUCUAAUGUCACUGAAUCACUGAAUCAGAAAUUUAGAAAGGGGUCCAAACUGCCCACUGCCUCUGGACUGUUCUCCUGGCAGCCUAGGAAGUGUAGGCUCUUCCUGCCUGUAGCUCCAACCAGGCCAGGCCAGCCUAGUCCCCUCCAGAUUGUUCUGGAUAUAGGAGGUGACCCUGCAUCUUGACUGCCUGCCUCAGAGGUCUCAAAAAUUUUGCCCUCAGGACCCCU